AUUGAACGCUGGCGGCAUGCCUUACACAUGCAAGUCGAACGGUAACAGGUCUUCGGAUGCUGACGAGUGGCGAACGGGUGAGUAAUACAUCGGAACGUGCCCGAUCGUGGGGGAGUAACGAGGCGAAAGACUUUGUCUAAUACCGCAUACGAUCUACGGAUGAAAGACGGGGGAGUCUUCGGACCUCGCGCGGACGGAGCGGCCGAUGGCAGAUUAGGUAGUUGGUGGGGUAAAGGCUCACCAAGCCGACGAUCUGUAGCUGGUCUGAGAGGACGACCAGCCACACUGGAACUGAGACACGGUCCAGACUCCUACGGGAGGCAGCAGUGGGGAAUUUUGGACAAUGGGGGCGAACCCUGAUCCAGCAAUGCCGCGUGAGUGAAGAAGGCCUUCGGUU
rnacentral:rRNA from 1 species